rnacentral:pre_miRNA from 1 species
ACCUUAAAGUACUCUAGCAGCACAUCAUGGUUUGUAUGCUCUGAUAAUGAUGCGAAUCAUUAUUUGCUGCUUUAGAAAUUUAAGGA